GCCGUUAGUGAUAAGCACGCCUGGCAUUCAUCAUUCCCUCCAACACCCCCUUUUCUCCACUUUUUCUCUCUCUUUCUCCCUCUCUUCUCCCUUUUCUCCGUUUCUCCUCCUCUCUCCAUUUUGAUUUCCUCUUCGUUUCUUGGGUUUAUGGGAUCUGAUUGAUCUCUUUUACAUCAGGUUACUUUUGGCUUCCAUCUUCAAGCCAAAAUUGCAGAAAACCAACUAGUUAAAGCUGAAACCCAGUAUGGCUGUUUCGAUGAGAGAUUUGGAUCCAGCUUUCCAGGGAGCUGGGCAAAAAGCUGGAACUGAAAUUUGGCGAAUUGAGAACUUUCGUCCUAUGCCUGUCCCAAAGUCCUCCUAUGGAAAAUUUUUCACAGGGGACUCCUAUGUAAUUUUGAAGACAACUGCUUUAAAAAAUGGGGCCUUACGGCAUGAUAUCCAUUAUUGGCUGGGUAAAGAUACCACUCAGGAUGAGGCUGGUACCGCAGCUGUCAAGACAGUUGAAUUGGAUGCGGCUCUUGGAGGACGAGCAGUUCAGUAUCGUGAAGUACAGGGCCAUGAAACGGAGAAGUUCCUUUCUUAUUUUAAACCAUGUAUCAUACCUCAACCUGGUGGAGUUGCAUCUGGGUUUAAGCAUGCUGAGGCUGAAGAGCACAAGACACGUUUGUAUGUCUGCAAGGGAAAACAUGUAGUUCAUGUAAAAGAGGUUUCUUUUGCACGAUCAUCACUCAAUCAUGAUGAUAUUUUUAUUCUAGAUACGAAGUCUAAAAUAUUUCAAUUUAAUGGGUCCAACUCAUCCAUUCAAGAGAGGGCUAAAGCACUAGAAGUUGUUCAAUACAUUAAAGAUACUUAUCAUGAUGGAAAAUGUGAAGUUGCUUCCAUUGAGGAUGGAAAGCUGAUGGCUGAUGCUGAAACUGGAGAAUUCUGGGGUUUUUUUGGUGGUUUUGCUCCACUUCCAAGGAAAACAGCCAAUGAAGAUGACAAAGCCGUGGAUUCUCUUCCUGCUAAGCUGUUUUGCAUUUUGAAGGGACAGGCAGAACCCGUUGAGGCUGAUUCUUUGACAAGAGAGUUGCUAGAUACAAAUAAGUGUUAUAUUCUAGAUUGUGGGGUGGAAGUUUUUGUGUGGAUGGGGAGAAAUACCUCUCUUGAUGAAAGAAAAAGUGCUAGUUCAGCAGCAGAAGAAUUACUCCGUAGCCUUGAUCGGCCAAAAUCUCACAUAAUCCGUGUAAUCGAAGGAUUUGAAACAGUAAUGUUCCGGUCAAAGUUUGAUAUGUGGCCUGAGACAACUGCUGUAACUGUAUCUGAGGAUGGUAGAGGCAAGGUGGCUGCACUUCUAAAACGCCAAGGGGUUAAUGUUAAGGGUCUUUUGAAAGCUGCUCCUGUAAAAGAAGAACCUCAACCAUACAUUGAUUGUACGGGAAAUCUGCAGGUUUGGCGUGUAAAUGGCCAAGAGAAGACACUACUUUCAGCUUCUGACCAGUCAAAAUUUUACAGUGGCGAUUGCUACAUCUUUCAGUAUUCAUAUCCUGGAGAAGAUAAAGAGGAACACCUUAUUGGCACAUGGUUUGGGAAGCAGAGUGUCGAGGAAGAAAGAACUUCAGCUAUCUCACUGGCAACCAAGAUGGUGGAGUCAUUGAAGUUUCUUCCUGCUCAGGCUCGCAUCUAUGAAGGAAACGAACCGAUCCAGUUCUUUUCAAUAUUUCAGAGCUUUAUUGUUUUUAAGGGUGGUGUAAGUGAUGGUUACAAGAAAUAUAUUGCUGAGAAGGAAGUUCCAGAUGACACAUAUACAGAAGACAGAGUUGCAUUAUUUCGAGUUCAGGGUUCUGGGCCUGAUAACAUGCAAGCAAUUCAAGUUGAACCAGUUGCAUCAUCUUUGAAUUCCUCGUACUGUUACAUAUUAAACAGUGGCUCCUCUGUUUUUAAUUGGUCUGGAAACCUUACGACCCCAGAAGAUCAGGAGCUUGUUGAGAGGCAACUGGAUGUGAUAAAGCCAAAUGUACAAUCCAAACCACAAAAAGAAGGCUCAGAAUCUGAACAAUUUUGGGAAUUUUUGGGAGGCAAAUCUGAAUACCCCAGUCAGAAGAUUGCACGAGAUGCUGAAAAUGAUCCUCACCUAUUCUCAUGCACUUUCUCAAAAGGAAAUUUGAAGGUGACGGAGAUAUUCAAUUUCACUCAGGAUGAUUUGAUGACUGAAGAUAUAUUCAUCCUGGAUUGUCACUCGGAGAUCUUUGUCUGGGUUGGGCAACAAGUUGAUUCCAAGAAUAGAAUGCAUGCUUUAACCAUCGGAGAGAAAUUUCUUGAACGUGAUUUUCUCCUAGAAAAAUUAUCUCAUACUGCUCCAAUUUAUAUUAUCAUGGAAGGGAGUGAGCCACCUUUCUUCACACGUUUCUUCACAUGGGACUCUGGAAAAUCUGCAAUGCAGGGAAACUCAUUUCAAAGGAAACUUGCAAUAGUGAAAAAUGGGAUUUCCCCUACUCCGGAAAAACCCAAGAGAAGAACACCAGUAUCAUAUGGAGGGAGAUCUAGUAGUUUGCCAGAAAAAUCACAACGGUCAAGAAGCAUGUCUUUCAGCCCUGACCGAGUUCGGGUGAGGGGCAGGUCUCCAGCCUUCAAUGCUCUAGCAGCUAACUUUGAGAACCCAAAUUCCAGGAACCUUUCGACUCCACCUCCAAUGGUUAGAAAGCUCUAUCCCAAAUCUGUGACCCCAGAUUCAUCUAAUCUGGAUUCCAGAUCUGCAGCAAUAGCAGCACUUUCUGCUAGUUUUGAACAACCGGCACGGGAGCCUAUUGUACCCAAAACUCCUAAAGUGACUGAAGAGGCACCAAAACCAAAACCAAAACCAGAAACAAACUCGAAAGAGAAAGCUAUGAGCAGCAGGAUAGAAGCCCUCACAAUAGAGGAAGAUGUAAAAGAGGGUGAAGCUGAAGAUGAAGAGGGUCUUCCAAUAUACCCAUAUGAGCGUCUUAAAACAACAUCCAUAGAACCUGUUGCCGAAAUUGAUGUGACCAAGCGAGAGACUUACCUGUCUUCAGAGGAGUUCCGACAGAAAUUUGGAAUGACAAAAGAUGCCUUCUAUAAGCUGCCCAAAUGGAAACAAAACAAGCUGAAAAUGGCCCUUCAGUUGUUCUGACUCUCUUUUUCAGAUACUCCUUUUUCAUCCGCCUUGCAGCAUAGGCUGCAGGUGGAACAAAAGCAUGCUUGCAAAUUUUGGGGGGGGACUCAAGUUAUCAGGGUGUGUUAGGGACAGCAUCAGUGCUUUUUUAGCUGCUUCUGCUCCCAAGAAGCUUGUUUUCAUGGUUGAUGGAGAAACCCAGAGAAUUUUUAUUUUUAUUUUUUUGGUUUCCUUUUCCCAUCUGCUGGUUUGGAUGUCUAGUUUUGCUUCUUUUUAGCUGCUUGUUAUUCUUUUUGGUCACAGGUUUGUUGUGAGCUUGCAUUUUUGUUCAUUUUUUCCCUUCUAAAUCUUCAUUUUGAUUCAACAAUUGAUUUCGACAGAGCUAUUAGAGGGCUUGCAAAAAUUCUUAGGUUGUAUUAUUGUAUGAUCCAGGAUGCCAAAAUGUGUGUACAGCAGAGUGUAUAAACCGGUUCACUCCUUAUUUGUUUUGACAAUAAAGUGUGAUUUUUUUUAACUUAA